rnacentral:rRNA from 1 species
UACGUAGGGGGCAAGCGUUGUCCGGAAUCAUUGGGCGUAAAGAGCGUGUAGGCGGCCAGAUAAGUCCGCUGUGAAAUCUCGAGGCUCAACUUCGAGCUGUCGGUGGAAACUGUCUGGCUAGAGUCCGGAAGAGGAGAAUGGAAUUCCUGGUGUAGCGGUGAAAUGCGCAGAUAUCAGGAGGAACACCGAUGGCGAAGGCAGGUCUCUGGGCCACUAUUGACGCUGAGAAGCGAAAGCAUGGGGAGCGAACAGG